rnacentral:tRNA from 1 species
GGUGGUUUGGCUCAAUGGGUAGAGCGCUAAGGGCUCAUGAUCGGGAGGUGCGGGUUCGAAUCUAGCAAAAGACA